rnacentral:rRNA from 1 species
AAUCAACGCUGGCGGCGUGCCUAACACAUGCAAGUCGAACGGGGAGUCGUCAGUGUAGCAAUACAUCGGCGGUUCUAGUGGCGCACGGGUGAGUAACAACGUGGGUAACCUGCCCUUGAGUUCGGGAUACCCUUUCGAAAGGAAGGCUAAUACCGGAUACGUUCCUCGGAUUGCCAAAAUCUGGGGAGGGAAAGGUGGCGCAAGCUGCCGCUCUUGGAGGGGCUCGCGGCCUAUCAGCUAGUUGGUGAGGUAACGGCUCACCAAGGCUAUGACGGGUAGCUGGUCUGAGAGGACGACCAGCACACGGGAACUGAGACACGGUCCCGACUCCUACGGGAGGCAGCAGUGGGGAAUUUUCCG